AUGGAUGAUGCAACGGAGCCCUGGGCUGACAGCCCUGUUUGCUCCGGUCCUGGGCGGCAGCGACCACAUGCUGGACAGCGGCCAGCGCGCGGCCAGCGCGCGGCCAGGUGGUCAGGUCGCCCUAGCCCAGCUCACGCGCUGGCAUCCCACCGUCUGGGCGCUGGGCCCACGACGGCCCCUGGGCAGGGCUGGGCCCUGCAGACUGUCCGUCGGGGGCACCCGGGCCCCCCAUCGCGGCCAGGCAGCGCUGUCCGCACGAGUCCCCCGCCUAGAGCCGGGCGAUGCAGGGGGCGGGGCGGGGCAUGUCUAGGAGGCGGUCCCCCCACCUCUGGGAGUGGGUGUUUCCGGCAUCCAGUCAGGCCUUUGAGGAAACGCCUGAGGCUCCCGCGGGCCAAAGGGCUCAGCGAGCAGCCGGGAGUUCCCGCUGGACUCCGCGGUCAGAGAGUGCGGUGCGCACGCGGCGUCCCCCGGGGAGACGCGCGGACAGACUCCCUCGGGAGUCACGACACGAUGACCUACUGCCUGAACAAGAAGUCGCCCAUCUCCAGCCAGGAGCCGAGGCUGCUGCAGCUUCUGCGCAAAGUGCUGCCGUGCGUCACCCUGCCCGUGGUGCUCAAGUGGUCCACCACACAGGUGCUGAGCGUCACUGAGCAGCUGGACGCGGGCGUGCGGUACCUGGACCUGCGGAUCGCACACAUGGAGGAGGGCUCCGAGAGGAACCUGCACUUCGUCCACAUGGUGUACACGACGGCCCUCGUGGAGGACACGCUCACGGAGAUCUCCGAGUGGCUGGAGGGCCACCCCCGGGAGGUGGUCAUCCUGGCGUGCAGGAACUUCGAGGGCAUGACGGAGGGCCUGCACGAGUACCUGGUGGGCUGCAUCAAGAACAUCUUUGGGGACAUGCUGUGUCCCCGCGGGGAGGUGCCGACUCUGCGCCAGCUGUGGUCACGGGGCCAGCAGGUCAUCCUGUCGUACGAGGACGAGGCGGCCGUGAGCCGGCACGUGGAGCUGUGGCCCGGGAUCCCCUACUGGUGGGGGAACAAGGUGAAGCCCCAGGACCUCGUCCACUACCUGGAGCGCAUGAAGAGCUGCGGCCGCCCAGGCGGGCUGUUCGUGGCCGGCAUCAACCUCACGGAGAACCUGGAGUUCAUCCUCGUCCACCCGGCCUGGUCGCUGCAGAAGCUGACCCUCUCGGGGCUCCCCUACCUGUGCGCGUGGGUGCGGGCCCAGUGCCCGGGGUCGGCCGCCGGCUGCACCAACAUCAUCGCGGGCGACUUCAUCGGGGCCAGCGGGUUUGUCAGCGACGUCAUUGGGCUGAACCGGAAGCUGCUUCGGGGCUGACGGGCGGAGCCGGGCAUCCCGGGGGCUGCUCCUCGGGCGCGUCUUGUGACGUCACCGGGCUGAACCGGAAGCCGCCUGGGGCUGACGGACAGCACGUGGGCGGAGCCGGGCAUCCCGGGGGCUGCUCCUCGGGCGCGUCCUGUGACGUCACAGGGCUGAACCGGAAGCCGCCUGGGGCUGACAGACGGCGCGCUGAGGAGCUGGGCAUCGCCGAGGCUGUUGUCAGUCCUGUCCUGCGGGGCUGGCAGUCCAUCCAUCCAUCCACGGAAUGUGGGUGGCUACAGAGGUGGGGCCGGGUGGCAGGGUCCUUGCGCUCCUCGGUCCUCCGUGUCUCUCAGCGGAUGUAGGGUGUGAGGUGAUGAUUAAAGGCGACUCGUGAUUAGUACAAUCGCAUCUUCCAAGGAGACUCCUGGGUCUGUCUGUGGAUUCCCCAUGGGAGAGGCUGGGGAACCCCCUCCCCCUGGGCGCUGAGAGCGGCCGACACAACCCCCAGCUGGGUCGAGGGGGUGGGGGGGCAGUAUGACACACUGCCCGUAGGGGGCACUGAGCGCAUAGCGAUCCCACUGAGAAAUCCCUUUUAUUAGAUGAGGGGCUGCCCUGGUGGCUCACCUAAGAAGGCCUUCCUAUCUCUCCCUGCUAUUCUUUGGAACUCUGCAUUCAGGUGGCUGUAUCUUUCCAUGUCUCCUUUGCCUGUCUCUUCUCAGCAAUUUGUAAGGCCUCCUCAGACAACCAGUUUGCCUUUUUGCAUUUAUUUUUCUUGUGGGUGCUUCUGAUCACCACCUCCUGUGCAGUGUUAGGAACCUGGGGCCAUAGGUCUGGUACUCUGUGUGCACGAUCUACCCCUUGAAUCUAUUUGUCACUUCCACUGUAUAAUCACAAGGGAUUUGAAUAAAGCAAAGAAACAGGAAAACA
rnacentral:lncRNA from 1 species